rnacentral:rRNA from 1 species
CGCGUAGGCGGUUUAUUAAGUCAGAUGUGAAAGCCCCGGGCUCAACCUGGGAACUGCAUUUGAUACUAGGUAAACUAGAGUUUGGUAGAGGGUGACGGAAUUCCAGGUGUAGCGGUGAAAUGCGUAGAUAUCUGGAGGAACAUCAGUGGCGAAGGCGGUUGCCUGGACCAAAACUGACGCUGAGGUGCGAAAGCGUGGGGAGCAAACGA